UACCAGCACCCCGAGUGGUCGGGACGAUUAUUGGGCCUAAAGCAUCCGUAGUCGGUCCUACAAGUCUUCCGUUAAAUCCACCUGCUUAACAGAUGGGCUGCGGAAGAUACUAUAGGGCUAGGAGGCGGGAGAGGCAAGCGGUACUCAGUGGGUAGGGGUAAAAUCCUCUGAUCCAUUGAAGACCACCAGUGGCGAAGGCGGCUUGCCAGAACGCGCUCGACGGUGAGGGAUGAAAGCUGGGGGAGCAAACCGG
rnacentral:rRNA from 1 species